CCUCUCGUGUUCGGACGGGGUGGGUUUCACGCUUGUUUUUUUUUUAGGGUUUUCGCAAAUUCGGGCCCAACCGCGAUCGAGCACGAGGAGGGUUUCCGCCGAGGCGAUUCCGAGCCCUAAAAUCUCACAAUUGUAGCAGUUUCCCGAAGCCACCACCACCACCACCACCGCGAAGCAGUGCGAGCGAGCGAGCGAGCUCGAAACCAGAAUCUCUCGUCGCGAAUCGAAACCCCUCCCUAAUUCUCCUCCUCGCGCCAAUUCGCACUCCCACGGAUCGAUCGAAAGGGUUGGGACUUGGGAUGGAUAAUAUGGUUUCACCAGAUAGAAGUUCAGAAGAGGCCUACAAGGAGGCUGAGACGUUAAAAGUGGGAGAAUGUGAAUUUAACUCGGUUGAAGACAAGGAUUCUCAGGGUAAGAGGUCUUUAGAACAGGAAGAUGAAGAAAUUGUUGAAAGAAUGCCAAUUGACUCACAUCUUGAGGCUUCGCCUAAGCAUCCUGUAAUUGAAUCUGAUUCAGUUAGUCCAACUUCAACUUCCCAGAAAGCUGCAGAGCCACAUUUACUAGUUGAUUCGGAUAUGCAAAAAGAUUCGGGAAGGGGAGUUUCAGAUCGCAUUGCUGAGGGAGAGAAAAUACCCUCACAAGAUUAUAACAUCCAAAGCAGAACAGAUGAGGCUGAUGAAAAAUUAGAUAUUUGUGAGGAACCAGAUGUGAAUAACUGUCAUGAGAAAAUUGAUGACAGUGCUCGUGACCAUGAAUGUACGAAUUCAACUUCUUUUUCUGUGACAGAUAAUAAAAGUUUGAAAAGUACAUCUGAAGUAGCUAAUUUUGAUCAGGUUGAGCUUAACAAUGAGAUAAUGGAUGAUGAGAAUUUAGGCCAUUAUACUGAGUCGAAGGAAGAUAAUGACACCUUAGAGAAGGCACCUUCUCAUAAUGAAGGGGUGGGAAUGGAUAGGUCUCCUAAAGCUCAGAAUGGUAUACCAUCUCCAGAGAGAAAAUCAGUUCAGUCAAGAAGCCCUUCUACAAGGAAACACUCACGCUCUCCUGAAAAGAGUAGUGCGGGUCGCAAAAGGGCUUCUUCACAUGAACGCUCAUCUCCUCCUGUAAGAAGGAAGUCAUCAUCUGAGAAGGCAUCGUAUAGAGAUUCUCGCCAUAGAGACGACUCCCCGCGACGUACAUCUGUGUCACCUCGAAGGCGGGAUUCGCCACGUAGGAGGGACAGGUCAACAUCACGAUCACCUCCAAGGAAGAGGGACUCUUCGGGGCACAGAAGAGACCACCGUGGUAGAUCUCGAUCAAGGUCUCCCAGUGCAAGGGAUCAUUACCGCCGAUCACCAAGGAAAAGGCACUCACCCAGGCGAAGAUCCCCUCCAUCAAGUUACUAUUCUCGCCGACGUUCUCCCAGGAGACCUUGGUCACCACCCCCUAAUCGUAAUACUGGAAUAGGUAAGCCUGGAAGGAAUUUGUUUGUUGCAGGUUUUAGCUAUGUCACAACUGAGAGAGAUUUGGAGAGGAAAUUCUCAAGGUUUGGACGCGUAACAGAUGUUCGCAUUGUUCGUGAUAAAAGGUCUGGGGAUUCUCGUGGCUUUGGGUUUUUAUCAUUGGAGAGGGAUGAAGAUGCAGAUGCAGCAAUACGUGCUUUAGAUCAGACUGAGUGGAACGGUCGGAUCGUCCUUGUGGAGAAAUCAAAGACGCCUGUACGCUGAAGAAGUUCCAUCUUCAAACAUUCACAGAGAGAGAGAGAGAGGACCAUUACAAUUUUCCCAGCAUUUCAUACCGAAUCUUCCCUUCAACCAUAUUACAUAAGUUGUGAACCUAUAUGGUUACAGGAGCAGAUAGUACAUGAAAGUUAUCUGUCCCUUUUUAACUCUGCGAACCUCUACAUGAGUACCAUGAUUCACGAACACGUACCCUAUAGGAGCCCGCCAUCUCAUAACUGAUCAUUUUGGAGUUAUCAUACCUGCAAUGGAUAUGUUUGAUCGGUGAAAACGAUGUCUAUUUAUGAAACACGGAUCUUCUGGGUUAAUUACAAACUAAGCCUGAUUUCAAAUACAUUCUUUAGAGUUUAAAAUUUAACACUUUAGUCCCUGAAGUUUAUUUGAUGUAACAACUAAAUCCUUCCGUCCAGGUACUUGUUUAAAAGGUUAACAAAUCACCAUCAUCUGAGAAAAACUGUAGGCUAACGGAAAUACUUAGUUGUUACAUAGGACCAAUGUCAGGGACAAAUUUGUUAAUGUGGAAACUCUGAGGAUGUAGUUGGUGUCGUACUUCAAAAGUUAAAAGUGUAACUAACCCCUUUUUUUUCUUUCAUUUUUUUGCCUAUUAUUGGCUAUUUUCCUACUUUGUGUUCCAGACGUUCCUCUUGUGGUGCAGGGUUUGUCUAGUUUUAGAUACCUCAAAAUCAAGCUUGAUGUUCGGUCUUAUCCCUACUCCCAACUCUGUUUUGGCACUAUAGAAUCCUUGAAUGUUGAAUCUCGAACAACCUGCGGUGGAUUUACCAUAAUUGCUGUUGGUUUGCUUUUCUACAUCUUAUUCCUUGUGCUCUGAUGAGUGCCUGCACAAACAUUUUCUGUUGUUAACUGCACGAGCUUCCUAAUUGCAUUGUUAUUAUUUUGUUGUAUGUCUUCACUAAGUAUGUUAAGGGGGGUUUCUUUUGCUUCA